GCGUGGUCAGCGGGGACCCGCUCCGCAGGCGACGGCCGGCUUGCAGGAACCGGUCCCGAAACUAGGGGGCGCUCGCCUUGGGCCGGGCGCUGGACCCGGUGAGGUUCCUCAGGGGAGUGCGUCAGAUUCUUGCAGCCUCCCCGUCCUGGAAACUAGGCAGGUGUGCUGGGCGCCGUGGGCAGACAGGUGCAGCUCCAUCCUCCAUCUGUGAGCCCAGACUGGAACCUCCAAGCCGAGUGGGGGGCAACAAGGAAAACUACGUAGUGUCCUUGGGGACAGUGGUGUGGAUGGGUCUCCACAGGGGCAGGGCCAAGGUGGAUUCACUGGCACCGCGGGACAGCAAGACCCUGACUCUGGGGUUCACAUCUAUCCGUGGGAAAUGCAAGACGCGGGGACAGGCAUUCUGGGUUGCAGGCAGAAACCCAGGGCAAUGGACUGUUUUUGCCACAGGCCACUCAAAAGGGAAUGAAGGUUUGUGAAUGGUCUCCGGUCCUGAUCUCUUCCACGCUCUUGAGAAUAGAGCCACAUCCUGUUUUUGGAAUCUGGAUGUUGCUGUGCUGACGGCCUGUGCUGUGG
rnacentral:lncRNA from 1 species